rnacentral:rRNA from 1 species
CAUUUGAUUGGUGACUUGUAUGAAGGAUUGGAUGAAAUAUAAACUGUUUCUUAUUUAGGUGUAGAAUUUAAUUUUUUAAUUAAAAAGUUAAAAUUAUUUAAAAAGACGAGAAGACCCUAUAGAGUUUUAUAAAUAAAUUAAUUAAGAUUAUUUAUUAAUAUAAAAUUAAAAUUAUAUUAUUUAUUGUGUUGGGGUGAUAGAAAAAUAAAUAAAACUUUUUUUAAAUAAAAACAUAUAUAAGUGAUUUAAAUGAUCCAGUAUUAUUGAUUAUAAGAAAAAAUUACCUUAGGGAUAACAGCGUAAUUUUUUUUUUUAGUUCAUAUAAAAAAAAGAGUUUGCGACCUCGAUGUUGGAUUAAGAUAAAAUUUAAAUGUAGAAG